AUUGAGAUGAUGAGUCCCAAAUAGGACGUAAUGGACGUUCUGAAU
rnacentral:hammerhead_ribozyme from 1 species